CUCUCGCCAAGUUCUCUCGCCGGGAAAGUGGGUGCACUUUGGAGAGCACUUCGGAUGGGGUUCACAUUCGAAUUCAUGGAGCACGCCAUUUGCUUUCUAAGCAUAUAAUCAAGGUGGAAAAGCACCAAAUUCACACAUUCAGAUUAGGAAGUGAUUUUCCCAACCCAAUCCGAAAAUGGAAACAAAUAUUUAUUGUUUUUUGCAGCCUGAUAAUAUGGUUCAGAUGGUAAUGGCGUGAGUCAAAUGAGGCGCCAAAUUGUUGGCCUUGCUCUGCUCUCAAUUUGUCAUUGAUCUGGUCCCGAGAAUUCUGUGACUCAAUUAGACGGUCUUCUAAGCAAAAAUGAUAAAUGCCAUUAAUCAAGAUACAUUGAGUGAUGUAAUCACGUAAUCUUAUGAAUGCCCCUAAAAUAUUUCAGUUGAUAAUUACCUAUAGAUAUACCUAAUAAAACAAACACGUUUUGUAAUUAAUUGAAAAUGAAUUUGAGAACACAAGAAAUAAUGUGAAGCGUAUGCAAAUGAAAUAAAUGAUCGUAAA